AAAUAAAAAAUAAAAAAAACCGCGAGUGGCUUCUCUUCGAAGAAAACUCAACCUUCGCACGCCAUGGAAUGGCUUGGAAGGCUCGGCCUCGCCCUCUGGAACUGCGGCGUUUCCACCUCGCCGCCGGCGGCGGCGGCGGCGAGUGUCAGCUCCUCCCCCGCCCAAGACCUCGAUGAGGACCUCCCUGCUCCGGGGCUUCUCCUGGCCCAGUUUGGCGCCGGCUGCUUCUGGGGCGCCGAGCUCGCCUUCCAGCGCGUCUCCGGCGUUGCUCGCACCGAGGUUGGAUAUAGCCAGGGCCAUCUCCACCGCCCCACCUACUCCGACAUCUGUACUGGCUCUACUCUCCACGCCGAGGUCGUCCGCGUCCACUUCGACCCCCAACUCUGCCACUAUGAUCGCCUUCUUGAUGUCUUCUGGGCUCGUCACGAUCCUACCACUCUUAAUCGCCAGUGCAUCCCAACGCACGCAAGCCAGAUGUUCUUGCUGCCUUGUCAAGGCUUCACCUUCACUACCCCUUGUUCUCCAUGGCAAGCAUAUCAAAUUAGGGUUGUAGCGGAUCAUGAAAGGCUUGCCAGAUCAGACAAUAUUCCAUGCUCUUAAUAUGGGUUUUUCUUAGUCGUCUUAUGUGGCAUACUUACCUUGUUGAAUUGUAUAAGAAAUUUAUCAUUUACUUGAAAUUAGCUGUAUGUGUUUUGUGCAGUCAUUUUUAUUUGCUUUCUUUUCAUUUCUUCUGCUAUCCUCUUUCUUCUGAAAAGUAUGAUCAUAAUCUUCUAGAUCAUAUUGUAAGCAACAUAAAGAAUUGUGUGUGAAUUAUACAAGUGGAGUUUGAGAAUUUUUUUAAAGGCUUAUUAAUUCCAGUCACAUCUUAAGUUUACAUUAUUCCCCUGUAUAAGCAUGAUGGCUCUUUAUUCAGUCAACAUUUGGACUUCUCUGUUAGUAUUGUUGCUUCUUUCUAUUUAUUUUGCAUAAAUCCCUGGCCUGAUACCUAUUAGCAGACUAAAGAUAUAAAGGUUACAGACCAUUCUGCUUUUGGUUCAUCUUUUACCCAUCAAGCUUGAAAAGCUAGUGUUUAGUUUGCCAACAAUAUUAGACUCAAUUUUCUAGGUUUAAAGAACCUGUUAACAUGUUCUGCUUUAAUGGUAAGGUACUUUUUUUUACUUUAAUUCUAGAAGAAUUAUUGCUUUAGGGCUGGUGCUUUUAUUAAUAUAAUGCUGGAGAAAAGGCCUGCAACUGCAUUUGAAUGGUGUAAGAGUGAGUUUUGGGUUUUUUUCAAUAUCAUGAUUGUUUGAACUAAUCAUAUUGUUAGACAACAUGGGAACCUUGGCUUGACCUGCAAGCAGUUGUCUUUUAAGCCAUGCAAAGUGAUGGGGUUGUAGUAGAAUAUUAUUUUAUUUUUUGUCUUCAAUUUUAUUAGUGGUUUUAUUUGGCUCUUUUAUGGACAAAAUGAAUUCAAAAGCAGUGUUAUAUUUACCCAUAUCCUAGACGUUAAGUGAUUUUUGUCUACCUUUCAAUUGAAUUAUUCAUGUACAAUUUCCUUUCCUAAAACGUUAUAGAGAUGAGAAUGGAGUUUCAUCUUAGUGACAGAAAGUGCAGGAGGUCCGCAAGUUGAAAUACUCAUUAUUUGAUUGUUGGUUCUGAUUGUUACUAUGAGGAGUUUGGUGUCAUGUUACUUUUCAAUCAUGUGAAUUACAUUACUUCUAUUAGUCCAAAUACCCCAAUAUGAUAAUUGGGUGGUUGAAUGAUGCAUGUAGCAGUGCUUGAUGAUUGGGAGAUCGUAAGAUGGAGACAAACUAGUGAUACUUUAUUGUGCAUAUAUUUACCAAUAAAAGUUGAAGAUUCUUUGAGAAAAAAGACAGCGACAGCUGAAAUAAUGUACAUUGGUCAGAUUCAUGUUCAAAUACUUUCUGUACCAGGCAUGUUGAUCUGAACUUAAGUCAGAAAAUUUUUGAAACCACAAUUUCUGUACCACAAAGGUUUAAAUUAAUGUUAUAGAUAGUUCUUUCCAUGAAUCUUGCCUUAACUCUUGACUCUGCACAGGGAAA